rnacentral:rRNA from 1 species
CCUACGGGGGACAGCAGUGAGGAAUAGUGGUCAAUGGGCGAGAGCCUGAACCAGCCAAGUCGCGUGAAGGAUGACGGCCCUACGGGUUGUAAACUUCUUUUGUCAGGGAGCAAGUGGGUCCACGCGUGGGCUUAGCGAGAGGACCUGAAGAAAAAGCAGCGGCGAACUCCGUGCCAGCAGCCGCGGUAAUACGGAGGAUGCGAGCGUUAUCCGGAUUUAUGGGGUUUAAAGGGUGCGUAGGCGGAAUAUCAAGUCCGCGGUAAAAAUUCGGGGCUCAACCCCGUCGUGCCGUUGAAACUUCUGUUCUUGCGUGGGCGAGACGUAUGCGGACUGCGUGGUGUAGCGG